CCGAGUUGUAAUUUGUAGAGAGUGUUUCGGGUGAGGCCACGGUCUAAGUCCAUUGGAACAUGGCGUCAUAGAGGGUGAGAAUCCCGUAUGUGACCGUGGAUCGAGCCCAUGUGAAGCCUCUUCGACGAGUCGAGUUGUUUGGGAAUGCAGCUCAAAAUGGGUGGUAAAUUUCAUCUAAAGCUAAAUACUGGCUGGAGACCGAUAGCGCACAAGUAGAGUGAUCGAAAGAUGAAAAGCACUUUGGAAAGAGAGUGAAACAGUACGUGAAAUUGUUGAAAGGGAAGCGCUUGCAACCAGACCUGCCCGUAGGCGAUCAGCCGCUGUUCUCAGCGGUGCACUCGCCCUGCGAUCAGGCCAGCAUCGGUUUCGGCGGCCGGAUAAAGGCCUUGGGAAUGUAGCUUCCUCUCGGGGGAGUCUUAUAGCCCUCGGUGCAAUGCGGCCAGCCGGGACCGAGGACCGCGCUUCGGCUAGGAUGCUGGCGUAAUGGUUGCAAGCGACCCGUCUUGAAACACGGACCAAGGAGUCUAACAUCUAUGCGAGUGUUUGGGUGUUAAACCCAUGCGCGGAAUGAAAGUGAACGGAGGUGAGAACCCUGAAGGGCGCAUCAUCGACCGAUCCAGAUGUCUUCGGAUGGAUUUGAGUAUGAGCAUAGCUGUUGGGACCCGAAAGAUGGUGAACUAUGCCUGAAUAGGGUGAAGCCAGAGGAAACUCUGGUGGAGGCUCGCAGCGGUUCUGACGUGCAAAUCGAUCGUCAAAUUUGGGCAUAGGGGCGAAAGACUAUCA
rnacentral:rRNA from 1 species